rnacentral:ncRNA from 1 species
UAAAAGUUUUAUUUUGACUUGAUUAAUUAAGUUAUUUACUAUUUAUAUGUAAAUUUUUGUGUAGAUUAAAUUUUAAAAAUUUUUAUAUAAUACAGUAUGUUAAUUUAAAAAAUUACGAAAGUAAGAUUUAGAGUGAAAUUAAAGUUUUAACUAAUCUUGUGCCAGCAGUAGCGGUUAAACAAGAAAUGCAAUUAUUUAUUUUUAAUUUUUAAUUUAUUGUUAUAUUAUUUUAUAUUGGUAUAUUAAUUAGGUGAAAUUAUUAUUUUAUAUUUUGUAAAUUAUAAAUUUAUUUGAAGUUAAGAAAUUUUAUUAAUAAACUAGGAUUAGAUACCCUAUUAUUAUAAAAUGUUAAAUUUUAAUUUAGUUAUUGUUAGAUAUAAUCUUAAAAGCUUAAAAAUUUGGUAGUAUUUUAGUCUUUUCAGAGGAACCUGUCCUGUAAUCGAUAGUCCACGAUUAAUUGAACUUAUUUUAAUAGUUUGUAUAUCGUUGUAGUUGAGUAUUUUAUAAGAAUAUUAAUAUUCAUAAUUAAUUAUUAUUAAGAAAAUCAGAUCAAGGCGUAGCUUAUAAAUAAGAUUGAGAUGGGUUACAAUAAAUAUUAUUUAUAAUGGAUUUGUAAUUGAAAAUUGCAAUAAAGGUGGAUUUGUAAGUAAUUAUAAAUAUUUUUUUGUAAUGAUUUUAGCUCUAAAAUAUGCACAUAUUGCCCGUCGCUUUCAAUUAAGUUGAAAUAAGUCGUAACAAAGUAGGUGUACUGGAAAGUGUUUCUGGAAAAC